AGACCCGAAACCCGGUGAUCUAGCCAUGGGCAGGUUGAAGGUUGGGUAACACUAACUGGAGGACCGAACCGACUAAUGUUGAAAAAUUAGCGGAUGACCUGUGGCUGGGGGUGAAAGGCCAAUCAAACCGGGAGAUAGCUGGUUCUCCCCGAAAGCUAUUUAGGUAGCGCCUCGUGAAUUCAUCUCCGGGGGUAGAGCACUGUUUCGGCUAGGGGGCCAUCCCGGCUUACCAACCCGAUGCAAACUGCGAAUACCGGAGAAUGUUAUCACGGGAGACACACGGCGGGUGCUAACGUCCGUCGUGAAGAGGGAAACAACCCAGACCGCCAGCUAAGGUCCCAAAGUCAUGGUUAAGUGGGAAACGAUGUGGGAAGGCCCAGACAGCCAGGAUGUUGGCUUAGAAGCAGCCAUCAUUUAAAGAAAGCGUAAUAGCUCACUGGUCGAGUCGGCCUGCGCGGAAGAUGUAACGGGGCUAAACCAUGCACCGAAGCUGCGGCAGCGAACGUAUCACCCAAGACAACUUUACGGAGUUGACGAUUGACGGAGCGAAGCGACGUCAAAGCGUUCAUUAAAGUCGAGUUGGCUUAGGGAUACGUUCGUUGGGUAGGGGAGCGUUCUGUAAGCCUGUGAAGGUGUGUCGUGAGGCAUGCUGGAGGUAUCAGAAGUGCGAAUGCUGACAUAAGUAACGAUAAAGCGGGUGAAAAGCCCGCUCGCCGGAAGACCAAGGGUUCCUGUCCAACGUUAAUCGGGGCAGGGUGAGUCGACCCCUAAGGCGAGGCCGAAAGGCGUAGUCGAUGGGAAACGGGUUAAUAUUCCCGUACUUGGUGUUACUGCGAAGGGGGGACGGAGAAGGCUAUGUUGGCCGGGCGACGGUUGUCCCGGUUUAAGCGUGUAGGUGUGUGUUCCAGGUAAAUCCGGUUCACUUUAACACUGAGGCGUGACGACGAGGCACUACGGUGCUGAAGCAACAAAUGCCCUGCUUCCAGGAAAAGCCUCUAAGCAUCAGGUAACAUCAAAUCGUACCCCAAACCGACACAGGUGGUCAGGUAGAGAAUACCAAGGCGCUUGGGAGAACUCGGGUGAAGGAACUAGGCAAAAUGGUGCCGUAACUUCGGGAGAAGGCACGCUGACACGUAGGUGAAGUGAUUUACUCA
rnacentral:rRNA from 1 species